AGUGAACGCUGGCGGUAGGCCUAACACAUGCAAGUCGAACGGCAGCACAGCAAGAGCUUGCUCUUACGGGUGGCGAGUGGCGGACGGGUGAGGAAUACAUCGGAAUCUACUUUUUCGUGGGGGAUAACGUAGGGAAACUUACGCUAAUACCGCAUACGACCUACGGGUGAAAGCAGGGGAUCUUCGGACCUUGCGCGAUUGAAUGAGCCGAUGUCGGAUUAGCUAGUUGGCGGGGUAAAGGCCCACCAAGGCGACGAUCCGUAGCUGGUCUGAGAGGAUGAUCAGCCACACUGGAACUGAGACACGGUCCAGACUCCUACGGGAGGCAGCAGUGGGGAAUAUUGGACAAUGGGCGCAAGCCUGAUCCAGCCAUACCGCGUGGGUGAAGAAGGCCUUCGGAUUGUAAAGCCCUUUUGUUGGGAAAGAAAAGCAGCAGGUUAAUACCCCGCUGUUCUGACGGUACCCAAAGAAUAAGCACCGGCUAACUUCGUG
rnacentral:rRNA from 1 species